GCUCCGAUAGCUCAGUGGUAGAGCACUUCCUUGGUAAGGAAGAGGUCGCGGGUUCAAGUCCCGCUCGGGGCU
rnacentral:tRNA from 18 species